rnacentral:lncRNA from 1 species
AAUGUGCAUGCUGAGGAGGCCUCACGCCAGUUUAGGCUCUCCAGUAUCUCCCACUGAGCUACUCUGUCCCCGACUUAGAGGACCAGGAGAAGGGGGAGCUGGAGGCUGGAGCCUGCCACACCGUGGCUCGUCUCACUCUGGAUGGUGGUGGCAACAGAGAUGGCAGUGUGGCUGGAGUUUUAGGAGGGCGGCCUGAGCCGUAGGAGGGGGCUGGAGCAGUAACAUGGCGGCCUGAGCGGUUUUUCUGGCAUUGUCUGCCCAGCUGCUCCAAGCCAGGCUGAUGAAGGAGGAGUCCCCUGUGGUGAGCUGGAGGUUGUAGCCUGAAGAUGGCACAGCUCUGUGAUUCAUCUCCUGCGGUUGUGGCGGCCACGGUGAUGGAGACUGCAGCUCAACAGGAGUGUCUGAAGGCCAGAAUUCUACAGUAAGUCCUUCUGAGUCAAGGUGGGAGCAGGGUUGGUGGCUUCUGAGGCUCUGCGGGAGAAUCUGUUUCCUGGCCGUAGAGGUGGCCUGCACUCCUCAGCUUGUGCUGCCCGUCUUGAAUGACUGGAGUUUCCUGCUUCUGUCACUACACCUCCCACCCUCUCCAUCACCUGCUCUGCUCUUACAAGGAUCCGAGUGAGUACAUCAACCCCAAAAGCCAAAGACCCUUAACUUCAUUAUAUCUGCAAAGCCCCUUUUGCCAUAUAAGGUCAUGUUCACCAGUUCCCGGGAUUAGGAUAUGGGCAUCUGGGGGGCAUCAGCCUGCUACAGCUAGGCUGCAAAACUGUUACACCCUCCUGGUGUUUCAGUGAUUGGG